AGUGAACGCUGGCGGUAGGCCUAACACAUGCAAGUCGAACGGGAGCACAGAGGAGCUUGCUCCUUGGGUGGCGAGUGGCGGACGGGUGAGGAAUACAUCGGAAUCUACUCUGUCGUGGGGGAUAACGUAGGGAAACUUACGCUAAUACCGCAUACGACCUACGGGUGAAAGCAGGGGACCUUCGGGCCUUGCGCGAUUGAAUGAGCCGAUGUCGGAUUAGCUAGUUGGCGGGGUAAAGGCCCACCAAGGCGACGAUCCGUAGCUGGUCUGAGAGGAUGAGCAGCCACACUGGGACUGAGACACGGUCCAGACUCCUACGGGAGGCAGCAGUGGGGAAUAUUGGACAAUGGGCGCAAGCCUGAUCCAGCCAUACCGCGUGGGUGAAGAAGGCCUUCGGGUUGUAAAGCCCUUUUGUUGGGAAAGAAAUCCAGCUGGCUAAUACCCGGUUGGGAUGACGGUACCCAAAGAAUAAGCACCGGCUAACUUCGUGCCAGCAGCCGCAGUAA
rnacentral:rRNA from 1 species